rnacentral:tRNA from 1 species
CAAAGCGUAGUUCAGUUGGUAGAAUGCAUGUUUUGGGAACAUGAGGUCAUAGGUUCAAAUCCUAUCGCUUUGACCA